rnacentral:rRNA from 1 species
UACGUAGGGGGCUAGCGUUGUCCGGAAUCAUUGGGCGUAAAGCGCGCGUAGGCGGCCCGGUAAGUCCGCUGUGAAAGCCGGGGGCUCAACCCUCGGAUGCCGGUGGAUACUGUCGGGCUCGAGUACGGAAGAGGCGAGUGGAAUUCCUGGUGUAGCGGUGAAAUGCGCAGAUAUCAGGAGGAACACCAAUUGCGAAGGCAGCUCGCUGGGACGUUACUGACGCUGAGACGCGAAAGCGUGGGGAGCAAACAGG